AACGAACGCUGGCGGCAUGCUAACACAUGCAAGUCGAACGAGACCUUCGGGUCUAGUGGCGCACGGGUGCGUAACGCGUGGGAAUCUGCCCUUCGGUUGGGAAUAACACAGAGAAAUUUGUGCUAAUACCUUAUAAUGUCUUCGGACCAAAGAUUUAUCGCCGAGGGAUGAGCCCGCGUAGGAUUAGGUAGUUGGUGGGGUAAUGGCCUACCAAGCCGACGAUCCUUAGCUGGUCUGAGAGGAUGAUCAGCCACACUGGGACUGAGACACGGCCCAGACUCCUACGGGAGGCAGCAGUGGGGAAUAUUGGACAAUGGGCGAAAGCCUGAUCCAGCAAUGCCGCGUGAGUGAUGAAGGCCUUAGGGUUGUAAAGCUCUUUUACCAGGGAUGAUAAUGACAGUACCUGGAGAAUAAGCUCCGGCUAACUCCGUGCCAGCAGCCGCGGUAAUACGGAGGGAGCUAGCGUUGUUCGGAAUUACUGGGCGUAAAGCGCGCGUAGGCGGUUACUCAAGUCAGAGGUGAAAGCCCGGGGCUCAACCCCGGAACUGGCUUUGAAACUAGGUAACUAGAAUCUUGGAGAGGUCAGUGGAAUUCCGAGUGUAGAGGUGAAAUUCGUAGAUAUUCGGAAGAACACCAGUGGCGAAGGCGACUGACUGGACGAGUA
rnacentral:rRNA from 1 species